CGUGUAGGUGUGUGUUCCAGGUAAAUCCGGUUCACUUUAACACUGAGGCGUGACGACGAGGCACUACGGUGCUGAAGCAACAAAUGCCCUGCUUCCAGGAAAAGCCUCUAAGCAUCAGGUAACAUCAAAUCGUACCCCAAACCGACACAGGUGGUCAGGUAGAGAAUACCAAGGCGCUUGAGAGAACUCGGGUGAAGGAACUAGGCAAAAUGGUGCCGUAACUUCGGGAGAAGGCACGCUGACACGUAGGUGAAGUGAUUUACUCAUGGAGCUGAAGUCAGUCGAAGAUACCAGCUGGCUGCAACUGUUUAUUAAAAACACAGCACUGUGCAAACACGAAAGUGGACGUAUACGGUGUGACGCCUGCCCGGUGCCGGAAGGUUAAUUGAUGGGGUCAGCGCAAGCGAAGCUCCUGAUCGAAGCCCCGGUAAACGGCGGCCGUAACUAUAACGGUCCUAAGGUAGCGAAAUUCCUUGUCGGGUAAGUUCCGACCUGCACGAAUGGCGUAAUGAUGGCCAGGCUGUCUCCACCCGAGACUCAGUGAAAUUGAACUCGCUGUGAAGAUGCAGUGUACCCGCGGCAAGACGGAAAGACCCCGUGAACCUUUACUAUAGCUUGACACUGAACAUUGAGCCUUGAUGUGUAGGAUAGGUGGGAGGCUUUGAAGUGUGGACGCCAGUCUGCAUGGAGCCGACCUUGAAAUACCACCCUUUAAUGUUUGAUGUUCUAACGUGGACCCGUUACCCGGGUUGCGGACAGUGUCUGGUGGGUAGUUUGACUGGGGCGGUCUCCUCCUAAAGAGUAACGGAGGAGCACGAAGGUUGGCUAAUCCUGGUCGGACAUCAGGAGGUUAGUGCAAUGGCAUAAGCCAGCUUGACUGCGAGCGUGACGGCGCGAGCAGGUGCGAAAGCAGGUCAUAGUGAUCCGGUGGUUCUGAAUGGAAGGGCCAUCGCUCAACGGAUAAAAGGUACUCCGGGGAUAACAGGCUGAUACCGCCCAAGAGUUCAUAUCGACGGCGGUGUUUGGCACCUCGAUGUCGGCUCAUCACAUCCUGGGGCUGAAGUAGGUCCCAAGGGUAUGGCUGUUCGCCAUUUAAAGUGGUACGCGAGCUGGGUUUAGAACGUCGUGAGACAGUUCGGUCCCUAUCUGCCGUGGGCGCUGGAGAACUGAGGGGGGCUGCUCCUAGUACGAGAGGACCGGAGUGGACGCAUCACUGGUGUUCGGGUUGUCAUGCCAAUGGCACUGCCCGGUAGCUAAAUGCGGAAGAGAUAAGUGCUGAAAGCAUCUAAGCACGAAACUUGCCCCGA
rnacentral:rRNA from 3 species